rnacentral:rRNA from 1 species
UAGAGGAAGUAAAUUGUCGUAACAAGGUUUCCGUAGGUGAACCUGCGGAAGGAUCAUUAACCUUUCAAAACAGGGUGCGUCGCGGCCCCCGAGGUGCGGAAACAAGCCUCGAGCGGUUUGGGGUCCUCCCCUUCACGCGCGCACGACUGCCAUCCUUACUUUACGAGCACCUUCUGUUCUCCCUCGGCGGGGCAACCUGCCGUUGGAACCGAAUAAACUCUUUUUGCAUCUAGCAUUACCUGUUCCGAAACAAACAAUCGUUACAACUUUCAACAAUGGAUCUCUUGGCUCUGGCAUCGAUGAAGAACGCAGCGAAAUGCGAUAAGUAGUGUGAAUUGCAGAAUUCAGUGAAUCAUCGAAUCUUUGAACGCACAUUGCGCCCCUCGGUAUUCCGUGGGGCAUGCCUGUUCGAGCGUCAUCUACACCCUCAAGCUCUGCUUGGUGUUGGGCGUCUGUCCCGCCUCCGCGCGUGGACUCGCCCCAAAUUCAUUGGCAGCGGUCCUUGCCUCCUCUCGCGCAGCACAUUGCGCUUCUUGAGGGGCUCCGGUUCGCGUCCAACAAGCACAUUUACCGUCUUUGACCUCGGAUCAGGUAGGGAUACCCCGCUGAACUUAAAACAUA